rnacentral:rRNA from 1 species
GACGAACGCUGGCGGCGUGCUUAACACAUGCAAGUCGAACGCUGAAGCUCAGCUUUUGUUGGGUGGAUGAGUGGCGAACGGGUGAGUAACACGCGAGUAACCUGCCUCCUUCUUUGGGAUAACGCCCGGAAACGGGUGCUAAUACUGGAUAUUCACUGGUCUUCGCAUGGGGGUUGGUGGAAAGGGUUUUUCUGGUGGGGGAUGGGCUCGCGGCCUAUCAGCUUGUUGGUGGGGUGAUGGCCUACCAAGGCUUUGACGGGUAGCCGGCCUGAGAGGGUGACCGGUCACAUUGGGACUGAGAUACGGCCCAGACUCCUACGGGAGGCAGCAGUGGGGAAUAAUGCACAAUGGGCGCAAGCCUGAUGCAGCGACGCCGCGUGAGGGAUGGAGGCCUUCGGGUUGUGAACCUCUUUCGCUCAUGGUCAAGCCGCAACAAUGGUUGUGGUGAGGGUAGUGGGUAAAGAAGCGCCGGCUAACUACGUG